UUAGUGCGCCAUCGCGCUUUGAGCAGUCGGUACGUGAAGACGCGCUCGUCAGGUUUCCGUCCUAUUUAACUACUUUUGAUUAUCUAUAAAUGCGUGAUUGCAACAUAAAGCUGUUAAAGUUUGAAGGAUAUUGGCAACAUUUGACAGCCUGAGCCUGUGUUUUGUUAUUAUUCACUUCUCUUUUGUUUGAAGUGUGAUUCCAUUGAACUUGGUCCAUUGUUGUUGGAUGAGAAGCUCAACUUGGCGUUGAGGCUCCUGGGAUCCAAUACUACGGAGCAAACAGUGGUCGAAUUGCAGAUGUCGAAGGCUGGACACUAUACUUUAAGGAUAAAAAUGGCCAUGUGUCCUGGAUUCUUGGAAUAAUUUUCAUCCUGACCACUGUCCUGGAUCUAUACCUUCAUAGGAAAAAGUGACUCAUCUCUUGGCAAAGAAAGUUUGGUGACAUUGGUGAUUUUAUUUUUCUGUGGACAGUAUUUGAGAAGUCAUCAUGCCUAUUCUGAAGCAGCUUGUGUCCUCGUCCUCCCAGUCGAAACGGCGUUCUCGUGCUGACCUGACUGCGGAGAUGAUCAGCGCACCUCUGGGAGACUUCCGUCACACUAUGCACGUGGGUCGAGGAGGCGAUGCGUUCGGGGACACCUCCUUUCUUAGCAGCCGCUCAGGGGAGCCACCAAAGGAGCCGGAGGUACAGCAGAGCUCACCUAAACAGAGCCUCCUUUCUCGUACUUUCCGAAGCAGCAAGCGCUCGCAGUCGGCCAAUCGUGACAAGCCUGACAUAUCCAAACUGGCGCCCCCUGGUGGCUCGCCGAGUUAUGUAAAAAACGCAAUCUCACUGCCAUAUUUGAAUGACGAUGACACAGGACGAGGUACUGGAAUCCACUUUCCCAAAAGCGUGUCCUCAAGUCCUUUAAAGAAACUUCCAGAAGACGAAGUAAAGCCGCUUAAUGGAGCCACGGCAUCUGCUGUAUCAGACUUGGAGCUGGACGAGAGGAAUUUUGGAGAGCUGACUGACUUGCGUCCAUCGGUUCCUUACACCGGAGGCAUGAAACAUGCCGAGUCCAUCAUGUCCUUCCACAUUGAUCUGGGUCCCUCCAUGCUGGGUGACAUCCUGAGUGUGAUGGACAAGAAGGGCAUUGACGAUGACGAUCUGGGAUUUGAAGAGGGGAAGAGUAGCGAGGGACGCAGCUCGCCGCCCCAAAGCCCUCCCAACGAGGUGGAAGAAGAGGACCCUCUUCCUCCAAUCCGGCCCCCACGCCAAAGGCCAGGCACCAACCCUUACACUCCAGAGCUCCAAACCAGGAACCAUCAAAACCUGGACAGCUGUUCCCUCUCCAGUUCAGGGUCCACCGUGCUAGAUGAAAAAUCCCACAAUCAGAUGUAUGAGGGGAACACGAACAACAUCAAGUACAGCUCACCUCGAGUUCAAGACGACAGGGACUUCUCCUACAUGGAUGAUGACGACGAUGAUGACGAGAUUACGGUGUAAAGUGAACCAUAAGGUGCCAGAACAGUCUUUGCAAAGACUAAAAUAAAUGGUGGAAGUUGGUUGUGGUCAAUUAAAGCUCGUACACUGACUUGGAGGACUGAUUUUAUAAUGGAGAUGAAAGGGAAAACGUAUGUUUUAGCCCUUGCUAAAGGCUUUUUCACUACAUUUUCUAGAUCAGGUACAUAAACCCUCUUUUACUAGUGACUUUCACCAGAGCCACCACAGCUGUGAGAGGAAUGUGCUUGCGUGUUUGCAUAUGCCAUGGCGAGGGAAUUCCAUUUCAAAUGGUAAUUACAGUCUUGUGAGUAUCAUUAAUGAAUUCCAGUGUUGACCACUUGGAAUGCUGAUACAGGAGGUUUGUUUGGAACCAAGCCUCACAUUCUCCCAUGAUCGACGCAGUACUCUUGCUUAUGCCUUUAAACUUUAAAUUUAAAAAAAUACCAACGCCAACAGUCUUAAGUUUCCUACUGUGUGUUUUACAGCUUUUGAUUCCAUCUUUAAGUUAUAUCCUACAUUUUGCCUUGUAUACAAAACCAUAAUGAUGUAAAUGGUGAGAUGAUUGGAAUACCAUAAACGUGUUUGGAGGUUCAACAGAACGCUUUAUCUCUGGCAUAUGUUACCUUUUCCCAUCGAAAGUUGUUUAUGUUGUAGAUCUGAACUUUGUCAUGUGGUCCAUGCAUGUUUAAGAGGAUUUCCUGUCAGGUAUCAUGAAAUUCUCAAUCAUGGAGAUUUCAGAUUGAUGGGAUGCAGAAACCAAAAGCAGUGGUGACGUUGCAUUACUUGUAGGCAGUAGAAUCAGUCCAAGUGGAACCAAUUGCCAAUUUGUGUGUGUGUGAGAGAAUGAGGAUUGAUAUCAAGAGGGCUGAGGAGUGUGUUAUUUGAUUAUCAUUGUAUAGGCUCAGAGAUGAAGAGCGUAGCACUCUUAUUCAUGGUCUAGUGUAGUGCCUCGAACUUCAAGCUGUGCUCAUCAGCAGAAGUGGAUCUGGAGGGUUUUCAUCUCUGAAUAACUCUUAUAGUUAUUUGUGUUUCUGUAUUUAGGUUUGAAGAGAGAUCAACACCCCAUGAUGAGACUGUAACUUGUAUAGCCACUCUGUGAGUUAGUGCCAUACCCUUUGCAUCAGUUAAAUGUAGACAAAAUUGUACUUUAUUAAAAUUAUUUAACAUAUAUAAAAUGAGCAAACUCGAUCCAUCAUCCAAUUUUAUGUUACAAAGUUAUGUAAAGCUUUCACUAAUUUUCCUUAAAGGUGAAGUGUGUAAUUUCUGCACCAUCAGCAGCACUAAAAUGGAAUCUAAAAAAAAACUAAACUGCAAUUUUCAGGGGGUUUUUUUCCCCCUAGUUGGAAUCUUUACUUGGAUUGUAAUUCCAUAACAACCAAUCGUGAGAGUUUGAAGGCGGGGCCACGCAUUUGUUUGACCAGUGGCAGUCUGGUAAUGUUUAAAACGUUAUUUUUGAAAUUCUGUUUAGUGCCACAGAAAUUACACACUUUACAUUUAGGUCUCUAUUAUGAGACUUUCACAAACUAUGCUAACAGCAAAUUUGCCCAAAUACUGGCAAUAUACUUAACACUAUUAUAGGCUGUGGUUUACCACUGAAAACAUAAAAUAAUUACCAUCUAUUAAAGCAAGUAUUAACUGUUCAUUGUGCACUUUGGGAAUCGAGAUUAUUUUUCCCCCUAUGACACAAAGUUAUGUUUUGGGGAGAUAAUUUAAAAGCAUUCCACUCUUGAUAUAUGUACAUCAUGUUCAGUUAUUCAUUUACUGUAUAUUUGAGUCUUUUGAUUGAUGCUAUUGUUUAGUCAACAGUGUUGGCCCUGUAAUCUGACAUUUAUAUAAGCACACUGCACUCAAGAGAGCACCAUUUUGUAGAAUUAGUUAUUUUUGUAAACGCUUGGUUUCAGUGGUACAUAAUUGUUUGUACAGAUCUCUCUGUGGCCUUUUACCUUCACUUUGUGAGCUCAGUUAGGCUUUACAUCAGCUUUAACACUCCCAAGACUACAGCUACAUUAUUUCCUUGCUCACCUGUCAGUGUUUUUUGUUGGUUUGUGAAAUCAGCAUGUUUGUACAGAGGAACAAGUAAGGUACGGUUUGUAAGAAAGAUGUUUGUAAUGCUGACUCCAUGUUUCCUAGAGUGUUUUUCAGUGUGGGUAUAUAGAAUGGUUUGGAAAGGGCUUUAUUAAUGGGGUACGAGGGGCUUGGGUUGCCUAAUAUCUGGUCAAAAUGCUGCAUUGUGCUGUUUGGUCUGCCAGCACAAAUGGAGGAUAAUCAAAUGUGCCAAUGUCUUCUCUUCCUCUCUUUUGUUGCCCAGUUUUUGUUCAUUUUAUGGGUUAAAGAAGUGGUCGUGGAGAUAUCAGACUGCAUGCAAAGCUUUUGAAGAAGACCAGAUGUCCGGAACUGGAUUUGUGAGACUGAAAGUGAGCUGGAACGCUGGACUGUAACAGGUUUUUAGAGCAGCAGGGCUCCCUCUACAGUUUCGGAGUAGUUUUCUUUCAGGACAUUCAUACUUUUACUUGUGUCUAUGCUUACAGAGACAAAACUCUACCGUCCAUAUACAAUAGCAUAGUAUAAUUUCUUUGCUUGAUUAUGCACAGAGGUUUAUAAUAAUUUAUAUUACCACAUCUUCCUACAGGUGCUGCAGAAAAUGGUUGACAAAACACUAAAAUAUAGUAUAAAACCAUUUCCAAGUAUUUGCUGUUUAUCUUUUUUCACUUAAUGUCUGUAUCAUUCUGUACUGAAAUGAUAUAAAUAAUGACCUGCCUUACUUUCC